AAAUUUAUUUUUAAACAGGAAUCACACCAAUCCAUCUCGAACUUGGUGGUUAAACUCUAUUGCGGUGACGAUACUGUAGGGGAGGUCAUGCGGAAAAAUAGCUCGGCGCCAGGAUA
rnacentral:rRNA from 1 species